GGGCGAGCUUUCCAAAUCGGAGUGCGGCGGGCCGCAAAGAUCAGCAACAACUUCUUUGCGAGUGGAUUGUGAUGGGGACAGUAAUAUGAAGCAGCGUCAUGCGUCCCCUGCGAUGAGGGCCGAGUUGAAUCAGCAGAAGGCGCCUUUCCUUUCUGUUGCGGUGGAACAUGGUCCGGAGCAGCGGACUGAGGACCCUUUCGCCUCUUUCCCUCGGCUCACAUUUAGAAUUAUGCUUCUGGGCAUUUGCGCGGGCCCUCCGUAAGGAUAGGUUUUUCCGUCUCGGUCUUUGAGGUCUACACACCAUUCUCGUACCAGCUUGCAACGGCAUUACCAAAGAAGUAAAUUAAUCCAUGUAGAAAGAAGGGCUCCUUUUGCGUGCGAGAUUUCUUGCGCGUGCCACCGUGGGAGCUUUCGGAAAGGGAUGCCUGCUCUCCCUUGUGUUGUGACGGUUGUGCGCUUUUGAGCACACGUUUCCCAGUGCUUCCCUUUUCUGCGCGAUUCCCCCUGGUGGGAGUGUCAUGCGCCUUUCCCUGAGAUGCGCUGCAUCAGGAAGUGUGUGAAACCGCAGACAGCUGAGCUGAAUAAAUGGGAUACAUCCAUCCAGGGAACUCCGUGGAACGGACGGCUUGCCCAUCCCGAGUCUUGCUAAACCUUUCAAGACCCUCCCCUUCGGGGGUGUUUGGUGGCGACGUGAGAGGGGAUCACCUGAGCUAUGGAAGGAAGGAACAAAAAUUCAGGGGGGGAAUCUCCUUUUCGUGAGAAUUUUGGGAAAAGUGGGGGCCAGGAGAGGUUUGGGGGUGCAUUAUCUGUUUUGCCCCAUCUUCUGCAACAUUUCGCAUCUCCAGGUUCCCCAUGCCAGGUCGCGCGCCUCUUCGCCAACCUUCUGCGGACGGAUGGCCCAGCCUCUUUUAUGGUAGAAAAGCCUUUUCUUCUGAUGUUAUAUCUUGGAUUGUCUUUUAAUGCGUUGCUGCAUUUCUGUUUUCCGCAGCUGCAUUUCUGUUUUUCUGGCUGGGAGCAAACUAAACAGGACGAAUCCACGAUCCUUUCUUAAUGGCAAGAAUAAGAGUAUUUCCUUGUUAUUCCGCCAGUGAAGAAACGAUCCAUGCCGGCUUCUCCCCGCAUGUUCCCCCUUCGGCUCAUGUGCCGCCGUGUGUGUCUGUCUUUGCAGAAACUGGCGGCUGAAUGCGAGAGUGCAGGCUACCCGGGAGUCCUCGUCCCCUACAAGUGCGACCUCUCCAUGGAGGAGGAGAUCAUGUCCAUGUUUUCGGCCAUCAAGACGCUCCACAAGGGGGUGGACGUUUGCAUCAACAACGCCGGCCUAGCGCGGCCGGAGCCGCUGCUCUCCGGCAGGACGGAGGGCUGGCGGAGCAUGAUAGACGUCAACAUGCUGGCCAUGAGCAUCUGCACCCGCGAAGCAUAUCAGUCCAUGAAGGAGCGAAACGUUGACGACGGACACAUCAUUAACGUCAGCAGCGUGAACGGCCACGUCAUGGCCCCUCAGUCCAUCAUGCAUUUCUACAGUGCCACGAAACACGCGGUCACGGCCUUGACGGAAGGACUCCGGCAGGAGCUCCGAGAGGCGAAGACACACAUCCGUGCCACGUGUAUCUCUCCAGGACUGGUGGAAACCGAGUUCACUUUUAAGCUGCACGAUAACGAUCCGGAGAGAGCUGCAGCCACCUACGAAAGCAUCAAGUGUUUAAGCGCCGAAGAUUUGGCCAGUGCCGUAAUUUAUGUUCUCAGUGCUCCCCCUCACGUGCAGGCCUGGCCCCCUUGCAAGAAACAGCCGUGCGGUCUUGCCGCAGCUCUCUUUGGCUCUGCCCAGAAUCGGUAAAGGUGAAGAGGACUAGGACCUUUGUUAGUGCAAACAGCUGCUCUGGACUGCUGAUACGGCUGUGAAACAUCUGGAGAGGAGCGAGAUCGGUGACAUUCAGCUGAGGCCGACGGAGCAAGUUUCGUAGCCCAGGAGGCGGACGUGAGCUCAGCGGGGGGUGUGGGGAGCGCCCUUCAGCCCCACGGCUUUCCUUCGGUCGACUGGCGACAUUCCCAAGGGCCCCACUUAAGGAUGUACGCUGCCCCUCGCUAGCCUCCCCCGCAGCUCUCCGUUUGGUGGGAACGGAAGUGGAAGGCAACUGGCCCUGGGAACCCCAAGCCCCCUGCCUUCCACUCCUGAACCGAUUUGGGGAAAAGCUGAUUCCAUCUCUGUGCAGCGGCAGCCACGUAGGCCAUCCGUCUUUUCUGUCUGUCUGUCUUCCGGAGGAUCACGCCCAGCUAACGUUUGGUGAAGGACGUACCCAUCUUUUCCGAGCUGGAACGUUGGCACUGCAAACGUUGCCGACUCCGUCUCUCUUGCACCACCAGGACUGCCCCAAAGACAAUUCUGCUCUGGCGUGGCCGACGCAAAAGAUUUGCGAUCUCGGUUCAAAAAACGCGGAUCCCGUUUUGUCCUCCGCUCUUGAACACCUAAAGCAACUCUGAGCCUCAA